UUUGUGGUUGAAAGGGCUGAGGGGCAACCAAAUCAGAGAAAAACUACAUUGCACUUGGAUAUCGUACACAUUGAAGUUUUAUGCCUGGGGCUCUAUGAUCCUAGUUGUAUGUAAAGAUCCAACAAGAUAUGGAGCCUAAUCAUUCGAGUGGUCAAAGAUCAGGGCUGAGGGGCAACCAAAUCAGAGAGAAGCUACAUUGCACUUGGAUAUCGUACACAUCGAAGUUUUAUGCUUGGGCCUCUAUGAUCCUAGUUGUAUGUAAAGAUCCAACAAGAUAUGGAGCCUAAUCAUUCGAGUGGUCAA
rnacentral:lncRNA from 1 species